AUAAAUUACAGGAGCUUUAUUUUAUAUAUUUAUAUGAAACGAAUGUAUUUUUAUAUGUGGUUUUAUUUAUUGAUAUGAAAUAAAGUGGAGUAAAAAGUACAAUAUUUCCCUCUGAAAUUAAGUAAUAAAUGGUAUAAAGUGAAAACAUUAAAGUAGAAUGUUAGACCCUCAAAACUGUGAAGUACUUGAUGAAGUGUUGAUCGUGCAUUAAUCAGUGUUUCCACUGUGGCAGACAAAAAGCAUAAAGCCAGUUUUCCUCACCUCCCGCCCACUCAGCUGAUUCACACCAGACGCAGCCUCUGCUGCUCAGAACUAAUGUCGACACAUAACAAAGUAUUUAGUCUGUUGUGCAUCGGGUCGACACACAGGACUGAGAGGGGAAUGAAACACACAGCAGCUUCUCAUCCUGAGAGAAAACCAUGAUGAAGCUGGUUCCUGAUUAACUUCACUGUUUCUCCGCUGGACACAUCCCAGAACCAUGAGGUUGAAACCCACAGAAAAAAUCAACAGCUCCAGAAAGCACAGCUAACCAAGAUGCAGGCUGUGUCAGCACUGGUGGGGCCCCGUAGGCAAGAUGGCGGCGACAGCAGAGCCAACUUCACUGUACCAGGAAGAGAGGGUCGCGGACAUGGCCAUGGCCAUGGCCGUGGCCGUGGGCGAGGCUUCCCUCGACGCCUCCCACUGGGCAGAGAUGAGUGUUUCAUCUGCAGACAGAAAGGACAUUGGGCAAGGGACUUCGCCCAGCGGCAAGAG